GAGGGUAUAGCUCAGAGGUAGAGUGCGUGUUUAGCAGGCACAAGGUCCUGGGUUCAAUGCCCAGAACCACCA
rfam:Camelus ferus unplaced genomic scaffold scaffold1326, whole genome shotgun sequence.